rnacentral:tRNA from 1 species
AUUUAUCUAAUACAAGUAAAGUAUACCCGACCUCCAAUCGGGAAAUUUGUGAAAACAAGAUAAAUA